GUGGGUAGCUCAGUGGUAGAGUACGUGUUUUGCAUGUCUGAGGCCCUGGGUUCAGUCCCUAGCACCACA
rnacentral:tRNA from 1 species